CCUACGGGGGGCAGCAGUGGGGAAUAUUGGACAAUGGGCGAAAGCCUGAUCCAGCCAUGCCGCGUGUGUGAAGAAGGCCUUCGGGUUGUAAAGCACUUUCAGUGGGGAAGAAAGCCUUGGGGCUAAUACCCUCGAGGAAGGACAUCACCCACAGAAGAAGCACCGGCUAACUCCGUGCCAGCAGCCGCGGUAAUACGGAGGGUGCGAGCGUUAAUCGGAAUUACUGGGCGUAAAGCGCGCGUAGGCGGUCUGAUAAGCCGGUUGUGAAAGCCCCGGGCUCAACCUGGGAACGGCAUCCGGAACUGUCAGGCUAGAGUGCAGGAGAGGAAGGUAGAAUUCCCGGUGUAGCGGUGAAAUGCGUAGAGAUCGGGAGGAAUACCAGGGGCGAAGGCGGCCUUCUGGACUGACACUGACGCUGAGGUGCGAAAGCGUGGGUAGCAAACAGGAUUAGAUACCCGAGUAGUC
rnacentral:rRNA from 1 species